rnacentral:lncRNA from 1 species
GACUAAAUAAUAUCAAUAUACAACUAACUCCCCAUAACGUUGCUAUAUGCCAAAAGUCAAUUGGUUAACUAAAGAAAAUUCAAAACCUAUCAUGCUCCACAUUCCACUGUACGUAUAGUUUUAACUAUGUAGUUGCACAUAUAUAUAUAUAUAUAUAUAUAUAUAUAUAUAUAUAUACACACACACACACACACUUGGCAGCUAGUACAUGCAUGCAUGCCAAAUGGUCUUUCACUUAGAUUAGGACAAACCUACAAAUGCAGGCCCUACAACUAAAGCAUUGAAAAAUGCUCUCAUUUUAUCGCCACCAUCCACUUAUUUUACCCCCAUUACCUUUUUUUCCUGCCUGGACCAUACUUUGUUGUAGAUUAGAUAAUAGUUUUCAUUGUUUUCUAAUAGGCUAUUCAAGAUUUUCACAAUCUUUUUGUGGAGAAUAUGGAUGUCCACUCUAAUAUCUCACGCCAGGAGCAAUCUGCCAAGCAAAAACAAAGCCACAGGAAAGGAAAGAGUAAUUAAAUUUUCCACUAAGCUAAUAUUAAUUUAUCUCUAACUAUGUAGUUGGGAUGAUCAACGUUGGUAUGUUAUAAGUGGCUGAUUAUAUUCAACAUAACGUAUACGUACGAAUAUAUAUAUAUAUAUAUAUAUUCAUGAAUGCAUGCUUAGAAAUAAUUGUACAAGAUAUGACAAAGCAUUAUUUUCUUCUCUAAAUGUUGCAAGAUAUGAGAAGCAUAUUUGACCUUUGUGGUGGAAAGUAGAGUUGAAAAGACUCGAGGACUCCAUCCAAGGCAAGGUUGGACUUUGAUUCCGUGCCGGAAGAAACCUUCUCAGCAUCAACUUGUCUAAUACUUAAUUCCUGCUGUAUCGAUCACAAUGUAAUUAUAUACUGAAUUAACAUGCUACAGAUCUUCUAUCAUAACAGCAAUUUAAUGAAUUUCAUCACUAGUUAGAAUUAAAAUUCCUGUAUAUUUAUAUAUAUAUAGCUAGCAUACAAAAGAUUAGAAAAUAGCCUAAAGACUAUAAUUAAUUUUUCUUUUUCAGGUCAAAAUCAAGAAGAUGAGAAAGAGAGACAGAGAGGUGAUCUAGUUAGGAUCAAAACAGUUAGGGGACUAUUUUCAAAGCAUAUAGAAUAAGACGUAAAGACCAAGUUAUAUAUACUUCAGCUGCAGUAUUAAACAUAGUAUCAUGUCUUUAUCAAUAAAUGGGAAGAAAGUAAAUUCUUUUCAGUGGCAUGCAGGACGUGCAACGUGAAUUCAGAUCAUCCCAAACUUGAAAAUAUUUAAGUGUAGCCAGCUGGCUAGCGAUAGGUAGAUGGGAAGUCACAUCUCACAAAUUUUACCGACCUUAAAAUGACAGUUUCUAAGCAAUUUUCGUAGCUAUAGAUCAAUAUAUCUUUGGGGACUAUGAUGUCUUGACAACAGACUCUUUAAUUGCGUCUCAGUUUUAUUGUAUACAACAGUUCCAACAUCUUUCUAGUUGUUCUAGGGUUGAAUAAAGCUAUUUUUGGGGUGCAGUAUCAUCUCCUUCCUGUGCCAGAUCUUUUUGAACACAAAUGUCGCAAGACAUUAGACAGUAACAUUCUUGAAUAUGACACGCACAUAAUCUGCUGCAUGUUCUGUGGUGAUCAAGUAUAUGACACGGAUGCAUGCCUUGAGGACAUCAAAUCCUAUAUGUCUUUAUGAAUGAUUUUCAAGUAUUUUUUCCCCAAAGUCUACUUUUUUCUUUUGAUUCAAAAUUGUGGGCUGCUAAAUGAAGGGAAGCCUGCCAUUAUUCUCAUACAUCCCCUCCUUUUUCCAUUUUGAUGGAAAGUCUACAUUUUUACAAACUAAACCCCGGCCUACAAUCAAUAUCGUAGACCCCCCUGAAUUAAAUCUGUCUUUUUAUACAAUGACUUUAUUCAUUGUAGAGGUUCCUAAUUGCUGAUGCCUUGAGCCACUAAUGACUAUUUUGAGAGGCAAAACUUAAUUGAAAAAAAGAAAAGUGCAUACAGGUGAGCAGUCUUUAGUUGAAAAAAAAAAUAAUGGGUUGUUGGACAAUGUGUUAAGGACAAGCAAAUUUACCUACCUCAGGUGGAAGCUGUGUUGUGUUUGAUUGUAUCACAUAACUGUCAAACAGCGACAUUACUUUGCAUGUAUCACUAGAGGAUAUAAAAAUUGACUUGACACUAGAAAAAAGGGAGCAAGAUGUCCAUGAUAUAUACAGAGGACUUUCCAAAGUUGAGAUUUUUACAGCAUAAUGUCCAUUGCAGGGUGAUGCUUAUUUAAUAUGGCAGAUAUAACUAUUAAAUGUGCCAUAGUUUUUAGGCCAUUACCUACUUUUAUUUAUCAAAUAUAAGAUUAUGACAUUUUACAUCUUUCUGAAAUGAACUAGAGACCCCUGGGUAGGCUGGGUUUAAAUACUAUCUUAAAGCUGAUACAUACUCAACUGAGAGAUAUGACACAUUCCAAAUCAAAAGACAUCUAAAUUAGGCAAAAGAGAAGGGAUGAAAAUAAGUUACCUGUAAUGAAUUUAGUUUGAAAUAUUGAGCUGUGAGGCAAGAAAUUACUGGUUAAACAUUCAUAUACUUUUGUACUGCAAGGAGACAUAGAAAGGGUUAAAUUUUG